rnacentral:rRNA from 1 species
GAUGAACGCUGGCGGCGUGCCUAAUACAUGCAAGUCGAGCUAACAGAUGAGGAGCUUGCUCCUCUGACGUUAGCGGCGGACGGGUGAGUAACACGUGGAUAACCUACCUAUAAGACUGGGAUAACUUCGGGAAACCGGAGCUAAUACCGGAUAAUAUAUUGAACCGCAUGGUUCAAUAGUGAAAGACGGUUUUGCUGUCACUUAUAGUUGGAUCCGCGCCGCAUUAGCUAGUUGGUAAGGUAACGGCUUACCAAGGCAACGAUGCGUAGCCGACCUGAGGGUGAUCGGCCACACUGGAACUGAGACACGGUCCAGACUCCUACGGGAGGCAGCAGUAGGGAAUCUUCCGCAAUGGGCGAAAGCCUGACGGAGCAACGCCGCGUGAGUGAUGAAGGUCUUCGGAUCGUAAAACUCUGUUAUUAGGGAAGAACAAAUGUGUAAGUAACUAUGCACGUCUUGACGGUACCUAAUCAGAAAGCCACGGCUAACUACGUG